GUGAACGCUGGCGGUAGGCCUAACACAUGCAAGUCGAACGGCAGCACAGUAAGAGCUUGCUCUUACGGGUGGCGAGUGGCGGACGGGUGAGGAAUACAUCGGAAUCUACUUUUUCGUGGGGGAUAACGUAGGGAAACUUACGCUAAUACCGCAUACGACCUACGGGUGAAAGCAGGGGAUCUUCGGACCUUGCGCGAUUGAAUGAGCCGAUGUCGGAUUAGCUAGUUGGCGGGGUAAAGGCCCACCAAGGCGACGGUCCGUAGCUGGUCUGAGAGGAUGAUCAGCCACACUGGAACUGAGACACGGUCCAGACUCCUACGGGAGGCAGCAGUGGGGAAUAUUGGACAAUGGGCGCAAGCCUGAUCCAGCCAUACCGCGUGGGUGAAGAAGGCCUUCGGGUUGUAAAGCCCUUUUGUUGGGAAAGAAAAGCAGCAGGUUAAUACCCCGCUGUUCUGACGGUACCCAAAGAAUAAGCACCGGCUAACUUCGUG
rnacentral:rRNA from 1 species